GCUUAGCCUUAAACUUCAAUAAUUAUAUAACAAAAUUAUUUGCCAGAGGACUACUAGCCACAGCUUAAAACUCAAAGGACUUGGCGGUACUUUAUAUCCAUCUAGAGGAGCCUGUUCUAUAAUCGAUAAACCCCGCUACACCUUACCUCCCCUUGCUAAUUCAGCCUAUAUACCGCCAUCUUCAGCAAACCUUAAAAAAGCGCAAAAGUAAGCGAGAGUAUCGCAUAAAAACGUUAGGUCAAGGUGUAGCCCAUGGGGGGGAAAGAAAUGGGCUACAUUUUCUGUCAGAGAACAUACGAAACUCUUUAUGAAAUUAAAGAAUAAAGGAGGAUUUAGUAGUAAAUUAAGAAUAGAGAGCUUAGUUGAAUAGAGCAAUGAAGUACGC
rnacentral:rRNA from 1 species